CUGGAGUGAGACACCAUGAGGGACCGUGAAAUUCUAAAAACAAUCAGGAAAACAUGGAUUUUAGAAUGCCAAGCUGACAUUUUGAGUUUUUAUGAGAAACCAGAAAAUUUGGUGUGAAGACCCUAAGUGGUGUGUCUGACUUACAGCAGGCCCACAGCAAAUACAUUGGAGACUUCUCAACUUUCUGCUUCUGAUGAUCUCAACUUGUGGUAUGGCAAAAGGAGAGCAAAAUGUUCACCCAGAUGACAUCGUGAUCAACUCCUCUGAAUCACUCUAAAGGAACGAGAAGUCCUGGCAGCUGAGUCAUGAUCCCCCAGGAGCCAUUAAGAAGUUAAUCUUCAGUCACUUCCAUCCAAACAGAAGAAAACCCAUGAAGGAUGAGAACUAUGGGUCCUGAGAAUGACAGAAGCAGAUCAAGAAACUGGCGAUUGAAGAGUAACUGAAAGAAACGCAAUCUGAUCUUACUAGCAGUGAAAGAGCGAGUCUCCCUCUGAUGCCGAGCAGAAGCUAGACUGUACUGCUGCCAUCUCAGCUCACUGCAACCUCCCUGCCUGAUUCUCCUGCCUCAGCCUGCUGAGUGCCUGCAAUUGCAGGCGCGCCGCCACGCCUGACUGGUUUUCGUAUUUUUUUGGUGGAGACGGGGAUUCGCUGUGUUGGCCGGGCUGGUCUCCAGCUCCUAACCGCGAGUGAUCCACCAGCCUCGGCCUCCUGAGGUGCCGGGAUUGCAGACGGAGUCUGGUUCACUCAGUGCUCAAUGGCGCCCAGACUGGAGUGCAGUGGCGUGAUCUCAGCUCGCUACAACCUCCACCUCCCAGCCGCCUCCCUUGGCCUCCCAAAGUGCAGAGAUUGCAGCCUCUGCCCGGCCGCCACCCCGCCUGGGAAGUGAGGAGCGUCUCUGCCUGGCCGCCCAUUGUCUGGGAUGUGAGGAGCCCCUCUGCCUGGCUGCCCAGUCUGGAAAGUGAGGAGUGUCUCUGCCUGGCCGCCAUCCCAUCUAGGAAGUGAGGAGCGCCUCUUCCCGGCCGCCAUCCCAUCUAGGAAGUGAGGAGCCUCUCUGCCCAGCCGCCCAUCGUCUGAGAUGUGGGGAGCGCCUCUGCCCCGCCGCCCCGUCUGGGAUGUGAGGAGCGCCUCUACCCCGCCGCGACCCCGUCUGGGAGGUGAGGAGCGUCUCUGCCCGGCGGCCCCGUCUGGGAAGUGAGGAGACCCUCCGCCCGGCAGCCGCCCCAUCUGAGAAGUGAGGAGCCCCUCUGCCCAGCAGCCACCCUGUCUGGGAAGUGAGGAGCGUCUCUGCCCAGCAGCCACCCCGUCUGGGAGGGAGGUGGGGGGUCAGCCCCCCGCCCGGCCAGCCGCCCCGUCCGGGAGGUGAGGGGCGCCUCUGCCCGGCGGCCCCUACUGGGAAGUGAGGAGCCCCUCUGCCCGGCCAGCCGCCCCGUCUGGGAAGUGAGGAGCGUCUCCGCCCAGCAGCCACCCCGUCCGGGAGGGAGGUGGGGGGAUCAGCCCCCCGCCCGGCCAGCCGCCCAGUCCGGGAGGGAGGUGGGGGGGUCAGCCCCCCGCCCGGCCAGCCGCCCCGUCCGGGAGGUGAGGGGUGCCUCUGCCCGGCCGCCCCUACUGGGAAGUGAGGAGCCCCUCUGCCCGGCCAGCCGCCCGGUCCGGGAGGGAGGUGGGGGGGUCAGCCCCCUGCCUGGCAAGCCGCCCCGUCUGGGAGGGAGGUGGGGGGAUCAGCCCCCCGCCGGGCCAGCCACCCCGUCCGGGAGGUGAGGGGUGCCUCUGCCCGGCCGCCCCUACUGGGAAGUGAGGAGCCCCUCUGCCCGGCCAGCCGCCCCAUCCGGGAGUGAGGUGGGGGGGUCAGCCCCCUGCCCGGCCAGCCGCCCCGUCCGGGAGGUGAGGGGCGCCUCUGCCCGGCCGCCCCUACUGGGAAGUGAGGAGCCCCUCUGCCCGGCCACCACCCCGUCUGGGAGGUGUACCCAACAGCUCAUUGAGAACGGGCCAUGAUGACAAUGGCGGUUUUGUGGAAUAGAAAGCGGGGAAAGGUGGGGAAAAGAUUGAGAAAUCGGAUGGUUGCCGUGUCUGUGUAGAAAGAGGUAGACAUGGGAGACUUUUCAUUUUGUUCUGUACUAAGAAAAAUUCUUAUCCUGUUGAUCUGUGACCUUACCCCCAACCCCGUGCUCUCUGAAACAUGUGCUGUGUCCACUCAGGGCUAAAUGGAUUAAGGGCGGUGCAAGAUGUGCUUUGUUAAACAGAUGCUUGAAGGCAGCAUGCUCGUUGAGAGUCAUCACCACUCCCUAAUCUCAAGUAACCAGGGACACAAACACUGUGGAAGGCCGCAGGGUCCUCUGCCUAGGAAAACCAGAGACCUUUGUUCACUUGUUUAUCUGCUGACCUUCCCUCCACUAUUGUCCUAUGACCCUGCCAAAUCCCCCUCUGCGAGAAACACCCAAGAAUGAUCAAUAAAAAAAUAAAAUAAAAUAAAAUAAAAUAAAAUAAAUAAAGUUUCAUGCGCAUCCGUGUGAAGAGACCACCAAACAGGCUUUGUGUGAGCAGCAUGGCUGUUUAUUUCACCUGGGUGCAGGCGGGCUGAGUCCGAAAAGAGAGUCAGCCAAGGG
rnacentral:lncRNA from 1 species